rnacentral:rRNA from 1 species
CGCGUGAGGGAUGACGGCCUUCGGGUUGUAAACCUCUUUUAACAAGGAAGAAGCGAAAGUGACGGUACUUGCAUAAAAAGCGCCGGCUAACUACGUGCCAGCAGCCGCGGUAAUACGUAGGGCGCAAGCGUUAUCCGGAAUUAUUGGGCGUAAAGAGCUCGUAGGCGGUUUGUCGCGUCUGCUGUGAAAUCUGGAGGCUCAACCUCCAGCCUGCAGUGGGUACGGGCAGACUAGAGUGCGGUAGGGGAGAUUGGAAUUCCUGGUGUAGCGGUGGAAUGCGCAGAUGUCAAGAGGAACACCGAUGGCGAAGGCAGAUCUCUGGGCCGUAACUGACGCUGAGGAGCGAAAGGGUGGGGAGCAAACAGGCUUAUAUACCCUGGUAGUCCACCCCGUGAACGUUGGGAACUAGUUGUGGGGACCAUUCCACGGUUUCCGUGACGCAGCUGACGCAUUAAGUUCCCCGCCUGGGGAGUACGGCCGCAAGGCUAAAACUCAGAGGAAUUGACGGGGACCCGCACAAGCGGCGGAGCAUGCGGAUUAAUUCGAUGCAACGCGAAGAACCUUACCAAGGCUUGACAUAUACAAGAACGCUGCACAAAUGUAGAACUCUAUGGACACUC